rnacentral:lncRNA from 1 species
AUCCAAAACUGUCUGUAGACAUUGUCAAACAUCUGCUGAAAUUGCCCCAGUGGACAACCAUGGCACUAAGCUCCUAGUGGCUGCUCGCAUCCUGUGGUUGGUGGUCAUCUUCCUCCAUCUUCAAAAAUGACGUUCUGCCUCGUGUUUCCACCGAAACCAUCGUGUGCCCAUAGUAACCAGCAGACACCAUGCAUGUGUGAUCUCCUUUAUGACCUGCGCCUAAUUAGCUUUUUAUUGUCAUCUUCCAACUCCCGCUUAAACUGUACAAACGGGCAGCAUGACUCCCGAUACCGAUUAAUAAGCUUCUAGCCCUGGUCCUGCAAUAAAGAGGAUGUAUUUACAGCAUGA